AACGAACGCUGGCGGCAUGCCUAACACAUGCAAGUCGAACGAGACCUUCGGGUCUAGUGGCGCACGGGUGCGUAACGCGUGGGAAUCUGCCCCUCGGUUCGGAAUAACAGUUAGAAAUGACUGCUAAUACCGGAUGAUGACUUCGGUCCAAAGAUUUAUCGCCGAGGGAUGAGCCCGCGUAAGAUUAGGUAGUUGGUGGGGUAAAGGCCUACCAAGCCGACGAUCUUUAGCUGGUCUGAGAGGAUGAUCAGCCACGCUGGGACUGAGACAGGGCCCAGACUCCGACGGGAGGCAGCAGUGGGGAAUAUUGGACAAUGGGCGAAAGCCUGGUCCAGCAAUGCCGCGUGAGUGAUGAAGGCCUUAGGGUUGUAAAGCUCUUUUACCAGGGAUGAUAAUGACAGUACCUGGAGAAUAAGCUCCGGCUAACUCCGUGCCAGCCGCCGCCGUAA
rnacentral:rRNA from 1 species